rnacentral:piRNA from 1 species
UAGGACCGUUGUCUUGGCCUAGGGCUU